CGUAGGUGGCAAGCGUUGUCCGGAAUUAUUGGGCGUAAAGCGCGCGCAGGCGGUCUUUAAGUCUGAUGUGAAAGCCCACGGCUCAACCGUGGAGGGUCAUUGGAAACUGGGAGACUUGAGUACAGAAGAGGAGAGUGGAAUUCCACGUGUAGCGGUGAAAUGCGUAGAUAUGUGGAGGAACACCAGUGGCGAAGGCGACUCUCUGGUCUGUAACUGACGCUGAGGCGCGAAAGCGUGGGAGCAAACAGGAUU
rnacentral:rRNA from 1 species